UUAUCAAAUGACGAAAGCAUCCCACUCCCUUAGGCCUUAGCUUACUAUGCGCACGUACGCGUCAAGGUCAAGAUGCACUUGGAAUGGCCUAUAAAUAGGAGUGUAGGGAAAGGGUAUUUGCACAUACAGAUCAUCAAUCCAACCAACAAUCCUAAAAUGAAGGCUAUCGUUGUCAGUUGCAUUCUGCUGGCUUCCCUUCUUUUCUCGUCCCCUUCAAUUAUUGUGGCUCGCGAGCUGGCUGAUCGGGAUGGAAUUCCUCCCGCAAGCAAGAAUCCCAACAAGCCAGCAAUACCAUCAUGCGGAAGGCCUGGCAAUCCUCAAUAUAGUUCUUGCAUACGAAACCCAAAGCGGCUCAUCAAGUGUGAUCCAAAAAGUAGCAAAUAUACGCGUAAUUGCAAGCCACCUCAAGGACCUUGAAUCAGUAGUACUACUUAAUUAUUGUGGUGUGGUGAAAGUAUGAAUAAAUAGCACUACUAAAGUUACGUGAAGUAGUGCUCAUGUAAUGCUUUGAGAAUAAAUAUUAAUAUUUUAAUGGAGCUGGAUCGAUCGAGCUAGCUUCCUUUGCAGUUUGCAGUAUGGAAACAUAUAUGUAAAGUAUGCUGCAUCUUAAUAUGCUGUCGUGUGCCAAUAAAAAGAUCGAGCUGACCGACAUAGUUUCGGUCAGCUUGUGGUGAUCCUAA